rnacentral:tmRNA from 1 species
GGGGCUGACCGGUUUUGACAGCGGGCAGAAGUGGUUUGUAAGCAUACAGUGCGCCAUUAGUCUGCACUUAAAUCUCGGCUGAUAAACAAUUAAUUGGCGAAAAUUCUUACGCUCUCGCUGCCUGAUUGAAGUAUAGUAGAUUAGGCUUAAUCCAUUCGCAAGGCGUUUGGACGGGACAUCACCCGGAGCUGUGGCUUCGAAGCUGACCGACAAGGUGGUGCAGAAAUAUCGGAGAUAGUUUGUCGAACGUCCCGCGCGACAAAUGAAAUCAAGGGACUAAGGUUGCGGUUGGUGGCUUCGGUCUUGCCGCAACACGAAAAUAAAGGCGAAGAUAAGUAUGUAGAAAGCAAAUUAAUUCCUCGUUUGGACGAGAGUUCGAAUCUCUCCAGCUCCACAA